rnacentral:rRNA from 1 species
GAUGAACGCUAGCGACAGGCCUAACGGAUGGGGAUGCGUGACAUUAGAUAGUAGGCGGGUAACGGCCCACCUAGUCUACGAUGUCUAGGGGUUCUGAGAGGAAGGUCCCCCACACUGGAACUGAGACACGGUCCAGACUCCUACGGGAGGCAGCAGUGAGGAAUAUUGGUCAAUGGUCGGAAGACUGAACCAGCCAAGUAGCGUGAAGGAUGAAGGUUCUAUGGAUUGUAAACUUCUUUAUACGGGAAUAAAACCUCCCACGUGUGGGAGCUUGUAUGUACCGUAUGAAUAAGCAUCGGCUAACUCCGUG